rnacentral:rRNA from 1 species
UACAGAGGUCUCAAGCGUUGUUCGGAUUCAUUGGGCGUAAAGGGUGCGCAGGCUGCGAGGCAAGUCGGACGUGAAAUCCCGGGCUUAACCCCGGAACUGCGUUCGAUACUGCCUUGCUCGAGGACUGGAGAGGAGACUGGAAUUCCUGGUGUAGCAGUGAAAUGCGUAGAUAUCGGUAGGAACACCAGUGGCGAAGGCGGUUUCCUGGAGCUAACUUGACGCUGAGACGCGAAAGCUGGGGGAGCAAACGGG